GACGAACGCUGGCGGCGUGCCUAAUACAUGCAAGUCGAACGAGCGGCGGACGGGUGAGCAAUGUCUGGGAAACUGCCUGACGGAGGGGGCUAAGUACUGGAAACGGUAGCUAAUAGCGCAUACCAUCAGUUGUGCCCUGAUGGGUUUAGCUAGUAGGUGGGGUAACGGCUUACCUGGGCGACAAUCCCUAGCGGGUCUGAGAGGAUGACCAGCCACACUGGAACUGAGACACGGGCCAGACUCCUACGGGAGGAAGCAGUGGGGAAUAUUGGGCAAUGGGCGCAAGCCUGAUGCAGCCAUGCCGCGUGUGUGAAGAAGGCCUUCGGGUUGUAAAGCACUUUCGGCGAGGAGGCGUUACUCGCAGAAGAAGCACCGGCUAACUCCGUGCCAGCAGCCGCGGUAAUAC
rnacentral:rRNA from 1 species